AGAGUUUGAUCAUGGCUCAGAUUGAACGUUGGCGGCAGGCCUAAAACAUGCAAGUCGAACGGUAACAGCGAGAGCUUGCUCUCGGCUGACGAGUGGCGGACGGGUGAGUAAUACGUAGGAAUCUACCUAGUAGUGGGGGACAACCCGGGGAAACCCGGGCUAAUACCGCAUACGCUCUACGGAGGAAAGCGGGGGAUCUUCGGACCUCGCGCUGCUAGAGGAGCCUGCGUCGGAUUAGCUAGUUGGUGGGGUAAAGGCCUACCAAGGCGACGAUCCGUAGCUGGUCUGAGAGGACGAUCAGCCACACUGGAACUGAGACACGGUCCAGACUCCUACGGGAGGCAGCAGUUAGGAAUCUUGGGCAAUGGGCGCAAGCCUGACCCAGCCAUGCCGCGUGUGUGAAGAAGGCCUUCGGGUUGUAAAGCACUUUCAGCGGUGAAGAAAAGCUCAGGGCUAAUACCCCUCGAGUCUUGACGUUAACCACAGAAGAAGCACCGGCUAACUCCGUGCCAGCAGCCGCGGUAAUACGGAGGGUGCGAACGUUAAUCGGAAUCACUGGGCGUAAAGCGCGCGUAGGCGGUCUGUUAAGUGGGAUGUGAAAUCCCCGGGCUUAACCUGGGAAUUGCAUUCCAAACUGGCCGACUAGAGUACGGUAGAGGGAGGUAGAAUUUCCUGUGUAGCGGUGAAAUGCGUAGAUAUAGGAAGGAAUACCAGUGGCGAAGGCGGCCUCCUGGAUCGAUACUGACGCUGAGGUGCGAAAGCGUGGGGAGCAAACAGGAUUAGAUACCCUAGUAGUCC
rnacentral:rRNA from 1 species